rnacentral:rRNA from 2 species
CCUACGGGAGGCAGCAGUGGGGAAUCUUGCGCAAUGGGCGAAAGCCUGACGCAGCCAUGCCGCGUGAAUGAUGAAGGUCUUAGGAUUGUAAAAUUCUUUCACCGGGACGAUAAUGACGGUACCCGGAGAAGAAGCCCCGGCUAACUUCGUGCCAGCAGCCGCGGUAAU